rnacentral:lncRNA from 1 species
UUUUUAUAGCAAUUUGUUGCUAAUGUUUUCCAAGGAAUUUGAAAUGUUAAAAUGUCUCUUGUCUUCUUUACUGCCAAGUAAAUAGACAGCUAGUAGAUCUCAUGCUGUAACAUUUGAAUUAAGGUCUAUAAAGGACCUGCCAUUCUUCAUAGACACUUUACCAAUAAAUGUGUUAGGUUAAUAUUAGUCCAAUGAUAGCUAAGCUGUACUUGAUUGAAUAUAGAAUAGCUAUGUGGGCUAGAAAUUCUGUUCUUUUUCCAGAUUUAGAUUUAAGUCGAAUAGGAUUAUAUCAAACAUUUUGUUAAAUUAUAUUGCAUUUUUUAGCUCUUUAAAGAAUCAGUACCACCAAGCUGGUAGCUCCAGAGAGUGCUAGAAUUUCAUUUUCCUUCUGGCUAGCAACUAGAUCAUGAAGAGCAGGUCUAUCUACUUGACUGCCCCAAUAAGGUCUUAAAAAAUAUGAUGUUAGACUACACUGUAAUCAUAUUUUUAAUGAAAAAUACCAAAGACCUAUUGAGAUUGUAAUCACAAGUCUUAACAUCUUUUUCCCUGAGAUUCAGGACUACUAUUGGUAAUGUGCAGUGAUGAACAUUAUGCUGAGAAAAAAGUUGUUUUUCUUCUUUUUAAUAUCGUACUUUCAUGAUUUUAUUUGCAAGUUUAGCACAUCUGGCUUUUUAUUUUCUUUCAAUAGUAGUUAUUUGCAAUUAGAAUAUGUUCUCCUUAGACAGAGUAUGCCGCACCACACAUUCUGAAGAAACAGACCUUGUCAUAGUUAUGCGUAGCAAUGAGGGCUGAGUGUGCAUUUCCUUUCACUAUCAUUUUCACAUAAAUUGUUCCUUAUUAAAGCAGAUAUUUUAAAAUGCUAUAAACAAUCAAAAGAACCCCUCGGAGCAUUUUAAUAUCUUUCAAACUGUUGCUUAAAAUUUUGUGCUGCUCAGCUUUGUUCAUGUGAUAGAGCCCCUGCAAAGGACUUGCAAAAAAACUCUAAAGAGAGGGUGUUUAAACUUAAAAUAAUUAACACCUAAUCUUUUGCAGAAUCUCAUAUCACAUUGUUGUAUACUCACUUCAUGCGUUAGCUUAAAAAAUAGAGAAGAAAUAUUAUGUGUCACCAAUUGAAGAAAAUUUUGGAAGAGAAACAAAACUAAAUUAACUUAAAAAUUUUGCAGCUGUGACGAAUUGGUACAUUGCCACUACAUGGGCUAACUCACAAAGUGAGCCUCACAGUCAAAUAAAGAAUGGGGGGCAAUGUUCAAUAUGAAUAUAGGCUUACCUGACUUUUUCUUUUUCUUUUUCUUUUUCUUUUUCUUUUUCUUUUUCUUUUUCUUUUUCUUUUUCUUUUUCUUUUUCUUUUUCUUUUUUUUUCUUUCUCUUUCUCUCUCUCUCUCUCUAUAUAUAUAUAUAGAGAGAGAGAGAGAGAGAGGAGAGACAGUGGUAUCCCCUGCUUUUCAAAAGUUUGUGUUUCACAAAGACCUACAUUAGCAACUGUUUUUGCUAACCUAAUGAUACCUGAAGAAGAUUUGCACUUAUAUGAAUAAAGGCAAAAAGUGAAAAUAGCAUUUAGGGCUUGUCUUGCAGUGAGCCUUAGGGAGGCAAGCGUGCACCCAGAGCAGAGAGCCGCCUUGCCAAGCGCCUUCCCCAGGAACUGUACUGUUUCUCAGCAUCCACUGCCAGGGCUUUGAAUGGCAUCUGCAAGCGUCUGUGCUUGAUCUCCAUUUAUUUUGUGCAUCCCUUAGUAAAAUGUGUCCUAAGGUAUCAGAAAAGCCGAAGAACGGUUAAUUUUUGGAUCUGACAACACUAAAAAGAUUUCCAUAUAAAUGAAUGGUGAUUGUUUCUUUGCUCUCUGCCAUUUUGGCUUAGAAAGUUUUCAUAGAAAUGCUAUAAGGGUAAACACACACACACAUGCACACAAAUAGAUAAAUAUAUAUUUAUAUAAAACUAUUAGUGCAACGUUUAAAAUAAAAUGAAAACCAAAGGGGAAUCUGAUAAAAUAAGGUAGGUGUGUCCUACAGUAGGAAUCCAGGAUUUUAAAAAGAGAGCCUCUUAGCCUUUGGUCUGUGCUGCAGAGCUGAGCAUAUCAGAAGAUAGUUCACGUACAUUUGCAUAAUUUCUUUAA